AAACCAGAGGUUCUGCUUCCACUCAAGGGGAGGGGAUUACACAAAGGCAUGAGAAACAGGGAUAACUGGGGGUAAUUUCAGAGUUUGUCUGCCAUAGAUCCCUAACACAGAAGCGAGUUAUAGGACAUUACCAAAUUUUCAAUGUUUGAGCUUACAAAAAGUAAUUAUGGGUGAGAAUUGAUGCAGAACCUCAUCUACAAUCAAUUUGUCACCAGGAGAAGUGGAAGAAGAGGAUGAUGAUGAAAAUACGUGUGGGCCAUCAGGACUUUGGGAAGCAUUAACUCCGUGUAAUGGAUGUAGGAACCUUGGCUUCCCCAUGCUUGCCCAGGAGUCCUAUCCAAAGAAGAGAAAUUACACUAUGGAAAUUGUACC
rnacentral:sRNA from 1 species